rnacentral:rRNA from 1 species
AUUGAACGCUGGCGGCAGGCCUAACACAUGCAAGUCGAACGAGUGGCGGACGGGAGAGUACUGUACGGGCAACUGCCUGAUGGAGGGGUAUAACUACGGGAAACUGUAGCUAAAUCCGCCUACCACCGGCUGUGUCCGGAUGGGAUUAGCUAGUAGGUGGGGCAAAGGCGCACCAAGGUGACGAUCCCUAGCUGGUCUGAGAGGAUGACCAGCAAGACUGGGACGGAGACACGGUCCAGACGCCAACGGGAGGCAGCAGUGGGGAAUAUUGCACAAGGGGCGCAAUCCUGAUGCAGCCAUUCCGCGUGUAUGAAGAAGGACUUCGGGUUGUAAAGUACUUUCAGCGGGGAGGCGUUACCCGCAGAAGAAGCACCGGCUAACUCCGUGCCAGCAGCCGCGGUAAUAC